CUUGGCCUCUCACGCCUGUUCCUUUAUCGUCCUAUAUACUGAGAUCUCUAUUUACACAAGGGGCACUUGAGGCUAGUGCCCAGAGGGGUCAUUAAUUAAUAAUUCUGUAUCGAAACUUCAUAUUCCACC